rnacentral:tRNA from 1 species
UCCAGUGUGGUGUAGUGGUUUGAGCACUGGACUAGAACUCUGGUGACCAAGGUUCAAAUCCUUGCUUGGCCA